AAUUAUGUUUUAGGUAACCGCUCAUGGGAGUUUCUAUCAAGAGAUUGAAUGAACGAGUUGAUGAAGACAUGCCUCUUCAUUAAAUUCAUUAACAAACUUUUUACAUCAAUCGCGGAGCAUUGCGCUGAUGCGGAAGUGAUUUACAAGUUUUUGGAGGUCAAUGAGAUUGAUAAGGAAAAAUAGCUGAUCAGUGAUUUUUGGUUGUCGGAGACUUUGAUCCGAAUGAGCGACGGUGAUGAAAAUAUGAGUGGUGGAUAGAGACGCAAGGGAUCGGUGAAGUUGUUUAAUACACACAAGGGGUUUGGUUUCAUCACACCAGACGACGGUGGUGAGUGGUGACGAUCUCUUCGUUCACCAGUCCAUUAGCUCUGAAAAAUUUCGUAGCCUUGCCGUUGAUGAAGCUGUUGAGUUCAAGGUUGAGGUUGACAACGCCAGUCGUCUGAAGACUGUUGAAGUUUCUGGACCCGAGGGUGCUCCUGUUCAGUGAAAUAACGGCGGUUCAUCUGGUGGACGUGGUGGUUUUGGCUGUGGAGGUGAGGACGUGAUGGUGGAAAUUAUUAAGGAGGAUAUGGUGGUGAUGGUACUUGCUUUAGGUGUAGUGAACCAAGUUAUAUGGCGAGAGAUUGUUGUCAAGGUGGUGGAGGAUACAGUGGUGGUGGAGGUGGUUGAAGGUACGGUAUGUUGUAGGUGGAGGUGGUGGUACUUGCUUUAGUGGUUUUAUUUGUUUCGUUUAAUUUUGUACCAAUCUUAUCAUUUGUAUUAAGGAUUUUAUAACUAGAGACGUAGGU